UGCAAGAAACUUGCACCCGUAAAUUAUGAAGUGCUCGAUUUUGAAGUUCGAGAAUUUAUCGGUUCAUAACCGAGCAUUUGUCAGUAUUUUUUUCUCCAGCUCAAGGGUUUUUUUUCUUGUUGUGUUUUAGUGCUGUCGUUAAUUUUCUUCCGUUUUUAUUUUUAUUUAUUUAUUUAUUUUUAUUCUGAGCAAGGGAGAGGGGAUAUUACGUGAUGAAAGGUUAUGGCUAUCCUCCAUCAGAUCGCUGAUUGAGAGGUGAUGCGCGCAAUCAUUAGCACGGGCAAAUCUUGUGGUAUGAGGAUUAACGUGAGCAACGCCUUUACUGACUGGGAUGCAGUGUGGUUUAGAGAACCAAAAAAACAAAAAAAAAAAAAACGUAGCAGAGUAAAAUUCAGCGGCGGAUAUACCUGGGGGCGGUCGCCCCUGUUUAAAGAAAAUUUUAGAAAAUUUCGUAAGUAUUUUUCCUACAAAAUUUUGUUACCGCCCCUACAAAAAAAAAAAAAAAAAACAAUCUUACCCUUAAGUCGACAGUCACCCAGGAAGAGGAAAAGAGAAAAACUCAUCAAGAUGGUGAGGGCCGCAAGGCCCGCAACUCGCAAGACUGAAGACUGCAAGAGCCUCUGGACAACUAUCGCCGAUCGGCACCUUGAAUCCUUGAUAUAUAUAUUUUUUGUUUGGAUUUCGGGUGACUGAUGGCUUGGAAUGUUGCUCUCUGCUUGUUUCUAUACGACGUCCCGAUGUACAAAUUAUGCAUGGAAGCUAGGCGAAUUCGCCCGUUCAGGUUCUCAAUGGAACGGACAUCGUAUUAUAAUAAUGCCAGAUUUUUAGCGGCGUCAUUUUCUUUUAAACGUCAUGGCUUGGAAUGUUGCUCUCUGCUUGUUUCUACACGACGUCCCAAUGUUAAAAUUAUGCAUGGAAGCUUUGGCGAAUUCGCCCGUUCAGGCUCACACGUGGCCUCCAUUAAACUGUUUUUCAACAACUUUGAUAAACAGUAAAGGUGGGAAAAAUAAUUAGUCACCGCAAGUUGAUAGUGGUUAAGAUCAUUACUCUGCAUGGAUGUCAGACAAACGUGUGCGCCAAUGUGUUGGCUGGGGUCAAAGGGCAGUCUCUUUCAACUGAGCUGGUGAUGGGUUGGCAAGCAAAAAGGAUGGAUAAAGGUGAGUUGGUGGUAGGCGUCAGCCAUGAGAUAGCAACAACAGAAGUGAGAGAGAGGGAUUCGACGAAGCCCUAUUUAGUUAAACUAAAUAUCUAAGCCAUCAUUCUUGUUCAAAUUUUGAUUUUUUGAUUUUUUUAUCUAAAGCCAUAAUUAGUGCUCUUCAAUUACUUCCUGCCAUUCGGAUU